CCCCUCUCCUCCCACUGGGAGGCGCCCAGAUUGUCCCAGUACAGCUGGUUUUCAAAGCCUUGAACCAGAAGGCGCCCCUCUGUGGGCCACACUCUCCCCAUCUGUACAAUGGGUGUCCAUGUAUGCAAAUGCAGUAAUUCCGUUCCAUUCGGGUCUCCCCUCCUCUACCCCGUUUUAAUUUUAGAAGCUUAGUCUGUUCUCUCUCCACUUCUCUCACAUAGCCUUCUCAUUCCUCUUUUCCUUGCCCAGAUAGGGCACCCUUCUCAUUCACAAAGUGCCCCCUCCAUGUCCCUGGACCCUUAGGAUAUCCCCUGGGGGCCCCCGAGUCAGAGACCGUCUGACUCAGGUUUUGCCUACAGAGUGCCCUGAAAGAGGAAAUGGCACUGUCUUCGGGGCUUUGAGGGUCAAGUAGGAGUUGCCAACACCUGGAAAGGACUCUUUCUGCUCCAUCCCUGGACAGUCAUGGAGGAUUGGGAGGUUAGAGAGAGGAAGGAAGAUGGUUUCAAUCUCGUGCCUCUCCCCACGGGGAGUGGGGGAAGCUGAAUGACCCUCAGCUGUUCCAAUCCAGUGGGUUUUUUUAAUUUGUUUUUUUGAUUAAAAAAUUACUGUAUUUAUUAUGACAAUGGUGACUCCCCGGUGCAUGGGGGGCCAGAUUCUGUGUGUUUCUCUAACCUCUUUGUAAAUAAAUGCACAAUGUUACAUAU
rnacentral:lncRNA from 1 species